GGAAAACUGGAGACUGCAGAUGAUAUCAAAUUUUACAGAAAGCGAGUCAUCUGUGACAUACAUUUGCAGACAAGUUUAAGAAUCGCAACAACCGUUUAAAUAACAUAGCUGUUCCUACUCUCCAUCUUCAGGGUGCUCCAUCACAAGAUGCUCAUAUGCCUCCUGCAACUCCACAUAUACCAACUGAACUUCCUAUGCCUGAACAUAAUAUAUGGAAUCUGCCUUCUACAUCAAAGCAAAUAGUCACUGGUGCUCCAUCACAAGAUGCUCAUAUGCCUCCUGCAACUCCACAUAUACCAACUGAACUUCCUAUGCCUGAACAUAAUAUAUGGGAUCUGCCUUCUACAUCAAAGCAAAUAAUCACUGGUAUGUAAACGCUUGGCUACCUACAUUCUCAAAUUAUGUUUAACUAGCUACCAUAAUUAAUUACUGCAUUAAGUAAUAUGUAACUGUUGUGUAGUCAUUACAAACACACUUCAACUUGAUUUAUUGUAAUGACAAUUUAGGUUAAUAAUCCUCAUGUAACUCACACUAGUAAUUUUGAUGUUUACAAUGACAAUGGUGAAUUAUUAUUAUUUUAUUUUCAGCUGCACCUCCCAAUGCGUGUUAUA